rnacentral:rRNA from 1 species
GAUUGAACGCUGGCGGCAUGCCUAACACAUGCAAGUCGAACGGGGUAGCAAUACCCAGUGGCGGACGGGUGAGGAAUACAUAGGAAUUUGCCUUUAGGUGGGGGAUAGCCCGGGGAAACUCGGAGUAAUACCGCAUGAUGUCGAAAGACCAAAGUAGGGGAUCGCAAGACCUUGCGCCUUUAGAGAAGCCUAUGUCUGAUUAGCUAGUUGGUAGGGUAAUGGCCUACCAAGGCGACGAUCGGUAACUGGUCUGAGAGGACGAUCAGUCACACCGGAACUGAGACACGGUCCGGACUCCUACGGGAGGCAGCAGUGGGGAAUAUUGGACAAUGGGCGAAAGCCUGAUCCAGCAAUGCCGCGUGUGUGAAGAAGGCC